UUCCAGUGCUUCAGUAUAGGGCAGCAAU
rnacentral:sRNA from 1 species